AGCGAACGCUGGCGGUAGGCUUAACACAUGCAAGUCGAACGGAAGCACAGUAAGUGUUUGCUCUUAUGGGUGGCGGGUCGCGGAAGGGAGAGGAAAGUAACGGAAUCUACUCUUUGGUGGGGGAUAACGUAGGGAAACCUAAGACAAUACAGCAUACGCUCUAGGGUUGUGGGGGGGGGAUCUUUGCACCUUGCGCGAUUGAAUGAGCGGAUGUCGGAUUAGUUAGUUGGCGGGGUAAAGGCCAAGCAAGGCGACGAUCCGUAGCUGGUCGGAGUGGAUGGCCGGCCACACUGGAACGUGGCCGCGGUCCAUAGUCCUACGGUAGGCAGCAGUGUGGAAUAUGAGGCAACAGGCGCAAGCCUGGUCCAGUCAUACCGCGUCGGUGGAGAAGGCCUUCGGGUUGUAAAGACCUUCUGUUGGGAAAGAAAAGCAGCAGCUUAAUACCCCGCGGUUCUGACGGUACCCAAAGAAUAAGCACCGGCUAACUUCGUG
rnacentral:rRNA from 1 species